GAGGGUAUAGCUCAGCGGUAGAGUAUAUAUAUAUGCCUAGCACACACGAGGUCAUGGGUUCAAUCCCCAGUACCUCCA
rnacentral:tRNA from 1 species